rnacentral:rRNA from 1 species
ACGAACGCUGGCGGCGUGCCUAAUACAUGCAAGUCGAGCGCAUGAACCCGGCGGACCUCUUCGGAGGGAAACCGGGGAAUUGAGCGGCGGACGGGUGAGUAACACGUGGGCAACCUGCCCUUCAGACGGGGAUAACUCCGGGAAACCGGAGCUAAUACCCGAUAAUCAAGCCGAUCUCCUUAUCGGCUUGUAAAAGCAUGGUCUUCGGACCAUGCACUGGGGGAUGGGCCCGCGGCGUAUUAGCUAGUUGGUGAGGUAACGGCUCACCAAGGCAACGAUGCGYAGCCGACCUGAGAGGGUGAUCGGCCACACKK